rnacentral:rRNA from 1 species
UACAGAGGGUGCGAGCGUUAAUCGGAAUUACUGGGCGUAAAGCGUGCGUAGACGGUUCUGUAAGUCGGAUGUGAAAUCCCCGGGCUCAACCUGGGAAUUGCAUUCGAGACUGCAAAGCUUGGGUGCGGAAGAGGGAAGCGGAAUUUCCGGUGUAGCGGUGAAAUGCGUAGAGAGUCCGGAAGAACACCGGUGGCGAAGGCGGUCUGCUGGGGUCGAACUGACGCUGAGGCGCGACAGCGUGGGAGCAACAGG